UACAGAGGUCUCAAGCGUUGUUCGGAUUCAUUGGGCGUAAAGGGUGCGUAGGCGGCGCGGUAAGUCGGGUGUGAAAUCUCGGAGCUUAACUCCGAAACUGCAUUCGAUACUGCCGUGCUUGAGGACUGGAGAGGAGACUGGAAUUUACGGUGUAGCGGUGAAAUGCGUAGAUAUCGUAAGGAAGACCAGUGGCGAAGGCGGGUCUCUGGACAGUUCCUGACGCUGGAGGCACGAAGGCCAGGGGAGCAAAACGGG
rnacentral:rRNA from 1 species